AACGAACGCUGGCGGCGCGUCUUAAACAUGCAAGUCGAACGGCAAGAGAAAAGCUUGCUUUUCUCCUAGAGUGGCGGACUGGUGAGUAACACGUGGGUGAUAUACCUUUUAGUUGGGGAUAGCUGUUAGAAAUAGCAGGUAAUACCGAAUGUGACCGCAUCUGUUAGAGAGGUGCGAGGAAAGGAGCUAAGGCUCCGCUAGAAGAAUGGCUCGCGGCCCAUUAGCUCGUUGGUGAGGUAACGGCCCACCAAGGCAAUGAUGGGUAUCCGGCCUGAGAGGGUGAACGGACACAUUGGGACUGAGAUACGGCCCAGACUUCUACGGGAGGCAGCAGUUAAGAAUAUUCCGCAAUGGACGAAAGUCUGACGGAGCGACGCCGCGUGGAUGAAGAAUGCCGAAAGGUUGUAAAAUCCUUUUAAGCCUGAGGAAUAAGCGGAGGAGGGAAUGCCUCUGCGGGUGACAGUAGGGCU
rnacentral:rRNA from 1 species